CGAACAUCAGCCGGUGGUGCACUUUGGCCGCUAACCUGUUGCGUCAAGAGGAGGCGAGGAACGGUUUGCACAAUCUCCACCUUCCCUGCAGUCUGAUGAACACCCCCCGAGGUGGCAGCAACAGUACUCAGAUAUACUCCGUACUUCAGUAGAUGUACAGUCGAAAUUUCUGUUUAAAAAAAAAAACUAUAAAAAGUGAAAGUAGUAACUCCUUUAUUCAAAAAUGGACAGACUAAAUAAUUCUUCACAACUAUAAGCUGAAUAUGAACGGUCAAUUAUGGACAAUGCCCCAUAUUGAUAACUUGGCACAAUAGAAAAUAAAGAACUGGAGGCAAAAUGGUUUCUUCCCUUUAAAUAAUUGCAUUGUGUACGUACUGAAAAGAUCUAAAAAUGGAUAUUAAUGGUCUCAAUUUAAAAUGAAGGACAGGAUUGCCAAAAGCUCUGCUGGCAUUAUGAACAGGCUCGCAAAAAAAAAAAAAAAAAAAAAA